AACGAACGCUGGCGGCAUGCCUAACACAUGCAAGUCGAACGAAACCUUCGGGUCUAGUGGCGCACGUGUGCUUAACGCGUGGGAACCUGCCCUUAGGUUCGCAGUACCUCCCCGAAAGGGGUGCUCAUACCGGAUAGUGUCUUCGCACCAAAGAUCUCUCGCGGUUGGAUGGGCCCGCGUUGGAUUAGCUGGUUGGUAGGGUAAAAGCGUGCCAAGGGGCCGAUGCAUGGCUGGUCUGAUAGGAUGACAAAGCACAAUGGGAAUAAGACACGGCCCAGAAUGGGACGGGAGGCAGCAGUAGAGUAUACUGGACGCGGAGGGAUAGUGCGAUACCGCAGUGCGGCGGAAGUGAUGAAGGGCUUAGGGUUCUAAAGCUCUUUUAGCCGGGAUGAUAAUGACAGUACCGGGAGAAUAAGCACCGGCUAACUACGUG
rnacentral:rRNA from 1 species